AUAGACAUAAACAAGCAGUUGAGUUUUAAAUGAAAUCUCGCGAGAUAGAGGACGAGCACAAUGCGGAAACUGGUGUGCGAUUGUGUGGCUACGAUAUUAAAAUUGAAACUGGAUCAUACAGUAGCGCUUUGUAAAAUAUAUAGAGACUAUGAUAUUUUUAUCCAGCUAAAUAAUGGGAUUUACGUUAUUUGUUGUUUUUGUUUAUCCAUUUAGAUGCUAAGCACAGCUGUAAUUCAUUUAUUUUUGAAAAAUAAAACGUUGAUAGAAACCUAUACGCGUUUAGAAACUAUUGAGAACCGAGGCUGUGGAUAAAGCAUUACAUUGAACCAUCGUUGUGACGGAUAGUCACCAAAAUACGGCCAUGAACAUCAGGGUUCCAGUGGCACCUGACAUCUGAUCAGUGGAGACUGGAAAUGAGUUCUGAAAUUGAGAAAGAGAGACAUUUAUUAGUGUACCUGAAUGUGUUGGCUUGAUCUAUGACAAACACUAUGAAACUUCAGCAGAUCUGCUUGUAAUUCUUUAAUAAAAAAAUAGAAUAUGUAAGAUAAUCACUAAUUUAGAAUGAUAUGUUAUGCAUGUGUUCAUAAAUUAAUUUAUUUUAUUGGCGUCAACUGAGAUUGUACACAGAUGCUUGUUUUUGUUUAAAGUCCAAAUAUAAAGGAUGUUAGUGAGGAAUCUCAGAACAUUUGUAAAUUCAAACCAAAUGUAUAUACAUUUUGUCUGUGUUAAUGUUAUCUAUGGCCAUGUAUAGACAGCUUUUGGUUUUCCUAUCAUCUCUAAAUUAACUCUAUACAUUUUAAUUUUGAGUUUGAUGUUUGUCAGUUAUGGUGUAUGUGUUUUCUGUUGUGGUGUUAACAGAAAAUAAAAUACAUUUCUAUAAAU